rnacentral:rRNA from 1 species
CCUACGGGGUGCAGCAGUGAGGAAUAUUGGUCAAUGGGCGCGAGCCUGAACCAGCCAAGUAGCGUGAAGGAUGACUGCCCUACGGGUUGUAAACUUCUUUUAUAAAGGAAUAAAGUGAGGAACGUGUGCCUUUUUGUAUGUACUUUAUGAAUAAGGAUCGGCUUACUCCGUGCCAGCAGCCGCGGUAAUACGGAGGCUCCGAGCGUUAUCCGGAUUUCUUUGGUUUAAAGGGAGCGUAGAUGGGGUGUUAAGUCAGUUGUGAAAGUUUGCGGCUAAACCGUAAAAUUGCAAUUGAUACUGGCAGCCUUGAGUACAGUUGAGGUAUGCGGAAUUCGUGGUGUAGCGGUGAAAGGCUUAGAUAUCACGAAGAACUCCGAUUGCGAAGGCAGCUUACUAAACUGCCACUGACAUUGAUGCUCGAAAGUGUGGGUAUCAAACAGGAGUAGAUACCCGGGUAGUC